UGUUUCCAAGAAUACAAACAUCAUCACUGAAGAGGAGAAAUCUGAUUUAGCAGCAGCAGACUUUGUUGCAUUUUUUGGUGACUUCAACUAUAGGUUGUUUGGUAUAACCUACGACGAGGCGAGGGACUUCAUUUCACACCGAUCAUUUGAUUGGCUCAGAGAGAAAGACCAACUGAGGGCAGAGAUGAGUGAAGGAAAAGUGUUCCAAGGAAUGCGUGAGGCAUUGAUCACCUUUCCACCAACUUACAAAUUUGAAAAGAAUAAGCCAGGCCUUGGAGGUAAACGAUAGAUUUGAAAUUCUCUGCAAACUUAUCCUCAUUGCUCAAGAACAUAUCAUUGCUUGUAAAAAGAGAAAAAAAUGGACUAAGUAAUUAAACUCUGCGCUGUUUCUAUCUCCAGGGUAUGAUUCAGGGGAGAAAAAGCGUAUACCUGCGUGGUGUGACAGAGUUAUAUACAGAGAUAACCAAUCAACCCCAUUUUGCGAGUGCAAUUUGCAGUGUCCUGUAGUUUCUUGUACUGUAAUGUAAUGUUCCAUCACACAAUCUCAUGAUCUUCUUUCACCUUUCGGCUUUCUCACCGUCCUAUGCAUUGUGUUAACAGGUAUGAAGCUUGCAUGGAUGUGACUGAGAGUGAUCACAAACCUGUGCGCUGCAAACUUCAUGCUAACAUAGCUCACACCGAUAAAUCUGUGCGAAGACAGGAGCUGGGGAAAAUAAUAAAGUCUAGUGAGAAACUCAGAACCAUGUUCGAGGAGCUAAGAUACGUUCCGGAAACAUCAGUGAGCACAAACAGUAUUCUUCUUCAGAGUCAGGACACGUUCAUCUUUUCAAUCACAAACAAGUCAAACUCGAGUAGAGCCCUCUUCAACAUCGUCUGCAAGGGUCAGACUGUUGUUAGAGAUGAUGGAGGCACCUUUGGUCUCCCUCGCUGGCUCGAGGUUAUUAAUUAUUCUCUUCUUUGUCACUAAUUGCUCUCUUUCUUCCUUUUAGAGAUCACAAAACUAAAUGAUCAGAUAACUAUUUAUGUAGGUUUCUCCGGGAGCUGGUAUGAUAAAACCAGAUGCUUCUGUACAGGUGAAAGUUCAUCAUGAAGACUCUAACACCUCAGAUGAGUCCUUUGAUGGCAUCCAGCAACAAAACUCAUCGUGUGAAGAAGCUUGUGACAAAGAAGUGACCCUGAUGGUAAUCAUCCAGGGAAGCUGCUCGACCAGAACAACAAGCCACUCUAUCAAAGUCCGCUACUGCUUCUCAGCAGCCAAAUCAGUUAAUCUCGCUUAUUCCAAACCCAAACCCAACAACGCCACAAAAAAUAAUCAAGAAGGUUCCACUCGUUACCAGCCAGAGAGUUACCGCGGUGGGAGCACCAGACGGGGUUGAAGAUGAUGAUUCCUGCUAACAUCACACUAUAGCUAGACCUUAGAAGCCAUCUAAAGAUAUGCAUCUAAACCAGACCCAGUAGGAGAUCAAGUUUUAUAAUAUUCACAACUAAGAUUCUGAGUUAUCAUCAGGUUAUGGUUUCUUCAAUUCUCGUUCUUUGAUUCGUUUAAAUAUCAGAAAAGUGUAUAUUGCGUUGAUACUUCAUUGAACUCAUUACAAAUCUGUUUUUCUACUCGAGAAACUCUGAAAAAAUAUCGAAUAGCAACGGUUUACAGGUACAAAAUACAAGUAUAUACUGGUUAUUCUUACAUGAUGAGACUCUCCUGUCCAAAUUGGUUGUUCAUAGUGCAUACAUUCUCUUGUUGUAUUCACCAUUUAGAAUCUCUGAAUCAGAAGGCAUACGAGACAUAGAGAAGGACUGAGACUUGCUUCUCUCUUUCCUUAUGCUCUUUAACUUAGAUUCCUCCACCCUGUGCAUGAUCACACAGUAACACAUGGCACCGAUCGUUGUCAACAUGAUGGUGCCGCCAAUGACAGUUGCACAUACGGCCAACCACAUCUCCUCUUUGCCCACAACAAUGUAAGAGAGGGAAACAAAGGCAAUGGAUAUGAACAGACAAGCACACCACAUGAGCUUGUUGAUCACAAAGACAAGCUUCUUCUUUGCCUUUUCCUCAAUCACAACAACUGAAGUCUGCACAACAACAACAGCUAAGGAUAUAAAAAGUGCCAAGCUGUCAAAGAUGAAGAAGACCAGAAACGGUGCUUUGUUCGCUAUAUGAGCUUGUCCUAGCAAAUCUCCUUUGGACCGGUCUUCUUCAUAUUGUCCGGGGAUUGUGAAGAUGGCUGCGAAAGCCACCGUGGCGAUAAGCACAGCCACGACAGUUGCCGAGUUUAUAGCGUUGUUUAGACCGCUAAUGUGAAGCUUCUUGAGUCUCUUUGCUAUCUUCUGGACUCUUACACCGGUUUGCCUAGACUGCUGAAGCUGAGAUUGCACCUCGUGCUUAAUGUCACUGACCGUUUGCUUGAGUUGCUUAGCUGGGUUCUGAGGCUUCCCUAGAUCUUUAGCUGUAGCAGCUCCUGCCUCUUUCAGAACCGAUGCAAGCUCUGCGUUUCCUAUCCUCUCUGCAACAUCGAGUGGCGUAUCUCCAGCUUUGUUUAUUGGGUUGAGGUUAAUGCCUUCAAAAGAUAGCAAACACCGCACUAUCUGCACAGAAGAAAGAUCCUUCCAUCAUGUGAAUCCCUUCUAUUACAUGAUUGAGAAAAGCUAAGUAAAGAGUUACUACUACCUUGAUACGGCCCUUGUUAGUGGCAAUGUGCAAUGGCGUGUUCCCUUUGUUAUCCUCAACGCUCAAAACAGCAACAUCAGGCUUCACCAACUCAACAACGAUCCCAUCGUUUUGACCUUUAACAGCCAUGUGAAGAGCAGUUUGUCCCUUUUUAUCAGUUCUAAACCCAAUGCUUGGAUCAUUACCCAUCAGAGACUUAUGACAUCACCAGGACCUCUAGAUAGCGUAAUCCGAACGGAUUUGUCUCAAAAGGGGAAUACUUACGCCCGGCAGGACAGUGUUAAGAUCUUGAUUGGUACCUGGAAUGUUGGUGAAGGACGAGCUUCAAGGGGAGCGCUUAUGUCUUGGCUGGGCUCUGAUGUGUCAGAUGUUGGCAUUGUAGCUGUGGGGUUGCAGGAGGUGGAUAUGGGGGCGGGUUUUCUUGCCAUGUCUACUGCUAAGGAAACGGUAACUCCUGUUUGAGCUAUUUACUCAUGACUAAUUUUUUGCCUGCGUUUGUUUGGUUUAAGUCGGCUCAUCUUUGUGUUCCGGUCGCAGGUAGGGGUUGAAGGAAGUGUUGUGGGGAAAUGGUGGAUUGAUGCAAUUGGAAAUGCACUGGAUGAGAGAAACACUUUCGAACGUAUGGGUUCAAGGCAAUUAGCGGGACUGCUAAUAUCUCUUUGGUAUGCAAAUAAUUCAUUCCGGACAAGUUACAUUUUUUUUGUCUUUCUCUAUUGAUUGCAUACCAGACAACAGUCUUUUGCUUUCCUUACAUAGCACCCAAAGUCUUUCACCCGUCUUAAGAGUUUUGAGCUAUAUCAUAUGUCUAGGUUAACCAUUAUUUUGUCUCCUCAUGUCUUAUAACUUUCUGCUUAGGGUGAGGAAGGAUAUUAGAACACAUGUCGGAGAUCUUGAUGUUGCAGCAGUUCCAUGUGGCUUUGGCCGCGCCAUUGGCAACAAGGUCUGUUUUUAUAGCUAUGUUUCACUUAGUUCCAUCUAAUACAAGAUCAGUUAGCUUGAUGUCUGUUUCAAGAAUCUUCUGAUCAAUUAGUCUGAUAUUGGAAUUUCUCUUACUGACCUCAGUUGAGGGUGAGUCGUCAUUGUUGAUCAGACUAAUGAUCCUACGUUGUUAAGAACAGGGAGGUGUGGGCUUGAGAAUCAGAGUUUAUGAUCGGAUCAUGUGCUUUGUGAACUGUCACUUGGCUGCUCACUUGGAGGCAGUUACUCGGAGAAACGCCGAUUUCAAUCACAUAUAUCGGUCAAUGGUCUUCUCCAAAGGACAAAGUUUAUAUACUGUUCCAGCUGGUAUAGAACCAUACCUGUUUUUUGUCUUGCUCAUUUGGCUUCUGAUUUUGGCUGCUUUAUUCUUCUGCCUUACCAUUGACUCUCUCUUGCAGCCGGUGCUUCAUCAUCUACCCAAGCACAAAAGAAUAACACUGUAUGAACUUAUCCUAUUAGCGCACUAGUUACAGAAUCUAACAUUUUUUUGUUCUCGAGCUUUUGGUGUGUGUCCCUUCUAAUGUUAUUGUUCUUUUUCUUUGUUUCCAAGAAUACAAACAUCAUCACUGAAGAGGAGAAAUCUGAUUUAGCAGCAGCAGACUUUGUUGCAUUUUUUGGUGACUUCAACUAUAGGUUGUUUGGUAUAACCUACGACGAGGCGAGGGACUUCAUUUCACACCGAUCAUUUGAUUGGCUCAGAGAGAAAGACCAACUGAGGGCAGAGAUGAGUGAAGGAAAAGUGUUCCAAGGAAUGCGUGAGGCAUUGAUCACCUUUCCACCAACUUACAAAUUUGAAAAGAAUAAGCCAGGCC
rnacentral:lncRNA from 1 species